UGGUACACACUGCAUCAAUCAAUUCCCAAGGAAAACAAAAGAGAAGAAAAGAGAAUCAGGACUAGCUAUCUAUCACUCAUCCUCAUGGCGAUCUUCAAGAGGAACACCGCCGCGCUGAUCUUGGCCGCCGUCGCGGUCAUGGCCGCCGUCCUCUCCUCGUGUUGCCACGCUGACAGCUCCGCGGGAGAGAGGUGCUUCCCGCCUGUCAUGGGCCCGGACUGCAACCUGAGGCAGUGCCGGCAGCGGUGCGGGAAGAGCUCGAAAGCGCACUGCUACAUGGCGUUGGCCGACGUGCAGCCCAUGGGGGUGACCGCCUGCUGCUGCACUCCGCUCCGUCGCGCCAAGACCGCUCCCGCUGCCUUGUAAACUCCGUUGGGACGAUCGAUGAAGAAAUCAAUAACCUAGAACUUUUUUUAUGGCAUGCGUAUGUGACGUGCGUCUUUAGUUUACCACUUUGAUGAGUUCAGGGACGUGAGCUUUAUUCUUUUCGGCUAAUUAAUUGCAUCCUCUCUGUCA